rnacentral:lncRNA from 1 species
CUGCGGAGGCGACUCCUGCACCCGCCGGGCCCACGCUGGGGUCACGGUGGAGGAACUCAGAAGCUCUUUGCUGCAGCCCAGUGGCCGCCGGCGGAACCUGACGGGGCUCGGAGGCCCGGGCGGGACAGGGCCAGGCCGUGAGCGUGCCCUUUAUCCCCCACAGCCGUGAGUUUGGGGGCAUCUGUCCCCCUUCGCAGGAUCUGGCACCGUGCACCCUCUGGCUCUUCCCCAAAGUCAGAAUGACCAUGAAAGGAGCCUCCAUUCUGAUUUCCAUAAUGGCUUCAGUAACCUACAUUCCCAGCAGGAGCCCACAAAGAUUCCUUUUCCUCCACACCUUCACCAAUACCUGGCAGCCCUUGCUCCCUUACUAACAGCCAUUUACCAGAGAAUGAACUAAGGCACCUCCCUAUUCAGAGGUUCUCCAGAAACAGUGAGGAGACUGCAGACCUCCGACAUCUACCUGCUGCUCAGG